rnacentral:rRNA from 1 species
AGAGUUUGAUCCUGGCUCAGAGCGAACGCUGGCGGCAGGCUUAACACAUGCAAGUCGAGCGGGCGUAGCAAUACGUCAGCGGCAGACGGGUGAGUAACGCGUGGGAACAUACCUUUUGGUUCGGAACAACACAGGGAAACUUGUGCUAAUACCGGAUAAGCCCUUACGGGGAAAGAUUUAUCGCCGAAAGAUUGGCCCGCGCCUUGAUUAGCUAGUUGGUGAGGUAACGGCUCACCAAGGCGACGAUCAGUAGCUGGUCUGAGAGGAUGAUCAGCCACAUUGGGACUGAAGACACGGCCCCAACUCCUACGGGAGGCAGCAGUGGGGAAUAUAGGACAAUGGGCGCAAGCCUGAUCCAGCCAUGCCGCGUGAGUGAUGAAGGCCCUAGGGUUGUAAAGCUCUUUUGUGCGGGAAGAUAAUGACGGUACCGCAAGAAUAAGCC